AGAGACUGGGGGAUGGGAGAGACUGGGGGGACAGGAAAGACUGGGGAACCGGAGAGACUGGGAGGAUGGGAGAGACUGGGGGAAUGGGAGAGACUGGGGGGACAGGAGAGACUCAGGGGAUGGGAGAGACUCAGGGGAUGGGAGAGACUGGAGGGACGGGAGAGACUGGGGGGAUGGGAGAGAAUGGGGGGAUGGGAGAGACUGGCCACGAGGCUCCCUUCUUGAUCCCAUGGACUCUAAUCCAGCGUCUGAAACUGGUUCUGGAGCAGAUGCUACUGUACCAAGAAGGACAUGCUCCUCUCCUAACACACGUGGUGCAUGGAGACCUCAUUCCUCACCAGACCUAGCCACCCGUGCAGGCCCUUCCUUGUGUGCUGGGCUCCGCUCUAAGCCUCCGACAUGGGACUGCUUGCUUCACCGCCACACCUCGGGCAGGGGCUGCUGUUCCGUCCAUUUCACCGAUGAGCAGACUGCAGGAGGAGAGACCUCCAGCCUUCAAAUUUCAAUCAUAACUUCAGCUAAAAGCAGCGGCGGGACAGACGCUGAAGGGAAGUGACACGGAGCUAACGCACAGCGCUUCCAGAGACACUUUCUCCGCUUUCUCGCAGCUCCUCCGCACGGCGUCCUGUGGGCGGCCACCACACCGCAAUCUAUUCUGAGUUUGCAAGUGGAAAUUAAAUUCCUUGUAGCCGAAAUGAGCCUCCACUUCAAUCAGCCUGAAGCCUGUCCUCCCAUCCCCCACCGCCCUCCCGCUGCAGCAUCUUUUGAAUAUGCAAAUGGGACACCUUGCUAAAUGGUCAGCAGGAUUGAUCCUGCUGUUUUCAUCAAGGAAAUAAAAUUAAAACGGAAUCAGGUGGUUACUGGGCUGUCCCGAGCGCUCCCCAAGGGCCUGCGCCCUUCGGCUGUUUGGGUAUUCUCUGGACAGACGCUCUCCAGGCCCUGACCCCACUCCUCAGGGGACCACUCUGACCUUGAGAACUUCCGGAGGACACAGGCAGGGGCUGUUGCUGGCAGGGGGUUUGGGUCUGAUCCCAUAAGCGCACAGUGGCGGGGUCAGAGCUGUGCCCGUGAUCUCCACACCCCGUUUGUUCCUGCCCUGUCCCCUCUCUUGGCUGUCAUUUCUUCAGCAAUAAAGUCAGGGCUCCCCAGAUCUGAAUCCCCCAGCGUGGCCUGUGGCCCACCUGAGCUGGAGAGUGUGAUCACAGCUCAGGCCCCAGCCCCUGGCAGUCCCCAGAGUCAGGAUGGGGGCUGCUGGGGACCUGCCUUCUUCCUUUUCUGGGGAUUUGAUGCACAAUCCCUGAAAGCCCCAGAUUUCUAGCACAUUUGUUCAUUCACUCAUUCAUUCACUCACUCACUCAUUCAUUCACUCACUCAUUCACUCAUUCACUCACUCAUUCACUCACUCAUUCAUUCACUCAUUCACUCGCUCACUCAUUCACCUGCUCACUCAUUCACUCGCUCACUCAUUCACUCACUCAUUCACUCACUCAUUCACUCACUCAUUCACUCACU
rnacentral:lncRNA from 1 species